UUUUCUGAGUCCCUGGAACCCCUCCCUUUUAAGAAUUUACAUAUUUUAUCUUCUGUAUACAUGUUUUUCCAUAAACAAUCUUAACAUGUUUCUUUUCCCCUAAUUAUGCAUUUCCCUAGAGUUGAUCUUAUUUAUAUUGACUCGAUAAAAACACUCUUAAUUAUUGAUUCCAAAACAAAUCAAAUCAUACACAGUAGCAAUGUCCAGUAGGGGAGGUAAGAUAUUAUUGAUUCCAAAACAAAUCAAAUUAUACACAGUAGCAAUGUCCAGUAGGGGAGGUAUGAUACUUCAUGUCCCGCAGACUUGAAUGUAGUACACCUGUAACACCCCUACGGCCUUACCAUGGAUUGUAAGGGGAGUUCUGUGAGUAUUUGUACCUAAAACAAAAACAAUGCAAAUCAAUUAUAAAUAUGUAUAUCAGACUCACAGUGUCACCAAAAAUAAAAAAAUGUAUUGCAUCCAUUCAAAUGUAUUUCAGAAUUCAGAGCAUUAACAUUUAAGAAACCUUGUCCUUCUGCUUCCUGAUGAACUCAACUUUCAUAUUCAUAAAGCAAGAUUCUUAAAAUUCACACAAGCAUGAUGCUACUAUACAUUCGAAACAAAAGAACAGAAACAUGAGCCCCAAUAUGUGAAGAGCCACUGAGUGGUUCAGACUUCAGACUGAUGCAUCAACAAAAGCAGAUUGAUUAAUACAAGUCGGGCUCUCUCAAUAACUAUCAUGUUGGUUUUAAAGUCAGUUUUUCCUAUUCUCAUGUCAAUAUACACAAAAACCAUAUUUAUCAUUAAUGGUUUGGUUUCCUUAACAAAUU
rnacentral:lncRNA from 1 species